rnacentral:rRNA from 1 species
GACGAACCGUACGAACGUUAUUCGGAAUUACUGGGCUUAAAGGGUGCGUAGGCGGCGCAGUAAGUUGGGUGUGAAAUCCCUCGGCUUAACCGAGGAAUUGCGCCCAAAACUACUGUGCUCGAGGGAGAUAGAGGUGAGCGGAACUUAGGGUGGAGCGGUGAAAUGCGUUGAUAUCCUAAGGAACACCGGUGGCGAAGGCGAGUCCCUGGACAACUACUGACACUGAGGCACGAAAGCUAGGGGAGCGAACAGG